CCUACGGGAGGCAGCAGUGAGGAAUUUUCCGCAAUGGGCGAAAGCCUGACGGAGCAAUACCGCGUGAGGGAUGAAGGAUUUUGGUCUGUAAACCUCUUUUCUCAAGAAAGAAGUUCUGACGGUACUUGAGGAAUAAGCAUCGGCUAACUCCGUGCCAGCAGCCGCGGUAAUACGGGGGAUGCAAGCGUUAUCCGGAAUGAUUGGGCGUAAAGCGCCUGUAGGUUGUUUAUUAAGUCCGUUGUUAAAGCCUAGGGCUCAACCCUAGAAAAGCAAUGGAAACUAGUAGACUAGAGUAUGGCAGGGGUAGAGGGAAUUUCUAGUGUAGCGGUGAAAUGCGUAGAUAUUAGAAAGAACACCGGUGGCGAAAGCGCUCUACUGGACCAUUACUGACACUCAGAGGCGAAAGCUAGGGUAGCAAAAGGGAUUAGGUACCCCUGUAGUCCUAGCCGUAAACGAUGGAUACUAGAUGUUGUGCAUUAUGUACAGUAUCGUAGCUAACGCGUUAAGUAUCCCGCCUGGGGAGUACGCUCGCAAGGGUGAAACUCAAAGGAAUUGACGGCUGAGANGCAGACGACACGAGGAGAG
rnacentral:rRNA from 1 species